rnacentral:rRNA from 1 species
AACGAACGCUGGCGGCAUGCCUAACACAUGCAAGUCGAACGAGAUCUUCGGGUCUAGUGGCGCACGGGUGCGUAACGCGUGGGAAUCUGCCCUUUGGUUCGGAAUAACAGUUGGAAACGACUGCUAAUACCGGAUGAUGACGAAAGUCCAAAGAUUUAUCGCCAGAGGAUGAGCCCGCGUAGGAUUAGCUAGUUGGUGUGGUAAAGGCGCACCAAGGCGACGAUCCUUAGCUGGUCUGAGAGGAUGAUCAGCCACACUUGGACUGAGACACGGCCCAGAGUACUACGGGAGACAGCAGUGGCGUAUAUUGGAGAAGGGGCGAAAGCGUGAUCCAGGAACGCUGCGUGAGUGGUGCGGGCCUUAGGGUUGUAAAGCUCUUUUGCCCGGUAUGAUAAUGACUGUACCGGUAGAAUAAGCAGCGGCUAACUCUGUGCCAGCAGCCGCCGUAA